rnacentral:rRNA from 1 species
GACGAACGCUGGCGGCGUGCCUAAUACAUGCAAGUUGAGCGAUGAAGAUUGGUGCUUGCACCAAUUUGAAGAGCAGCGAACGGGUGAGUAACGCGUGGGGAAUCUGCCUUUGAGCGGGGGACAACAUUUGGAAACGAAUGCUAAUACCGCAUAACAACUUUAAACAUAAGUUUUAAGUUUGAAAGAUGCAAUUGCAACACUCAAAGAUGAUCCCGCGUUGUAUUAGCUAGUUGGUGAGGUAAAGGCUCACCAAGGCGAUGAUACAUAGCCGACCUGAGAGGGUGAUCGGCCACAUUGGGACUGAGACACGGCCCAAACUCCUACGGGAGGCAGCAGUAGGGAAUCUUCGGCAAUGGACGAAAGGCUGACCGAGCAACGCCGCGUGAGUGAAGAAGGUUUUCGGAUCGUAAAACUCUGUUGGUAGAGAAGAACGUUGGUGAGAGUGGAAAGCUCAUCAAGUGACGGUAACUACCCAGAAAGGGACGGCUAACUACGUG